UACAGCAACAGCUGUUUUUUGCUCAACAUUUAAAUAAAAGUCGCGCACAUAAAUUCGAAUAUUACCGAAGACCACUUUACGCCACUAAUUCAGGUCCAUUAAAUUUUAUCGCAUUUUUAUUACACACCAUGUGGUUGUUGAAAUAAAGUAAUUUUGUUGAUAAAGAAAACCUACCAAAUAUGACAAGCAAU